UCCCCGUUAUCCUGGGCAGUCUCUCCAGAGUGCUCGGCAUUACCCGAUGCAACGCGAAGAACCUUACCUGGGUUUGACAUACACCAGAAGCCUGCAGAGAUGUGGGUCUCUUUGGACACUGGUGUACAGGUGGUGCAUGGCUGUCGUCAGCUCGUGUCGUGAGAUGUUGGGUUAAGUCCCGCAACGAGCGCAACCCUCGUUCUAUGUUGCCAGCACGCCCUUUGGGGUGGUGGGGACUCAUAGGAGACUGCCGGGGUCAACUCGGAGGAAGGUGGGGAUGACGUUGUCUACGC
rnacentral:misc_RNA from 1 species